UAAAGGUUUGGUCCCAGCCUUCCUAUUAACCCCUAAUAGACUUACACAUGCAAGCAUCCGCACCCCAGUGAAAAUGCCCUCUAAGUCAACAAGAUCAAGAGGAGCUGGUAUCAAGCACACGCCUGUAGCUCAUGACACCUUGCUCAGCCACGCCCCCACGGGAGACAGCAGUGAUAAAAAUUAAGCCAUAAACGAAAGUUUGACUAAGCCAUAUUAAUUAGGGUUGGUAAAUCUCGUGCCAGCCACCGCGGUCAUACGAUUAACCCGAGUUAAUAGGCACACGGCGUAAAGCGUGUUAAAGCAUUAUAUAAAAUAAGGUUCAAUUCUAAUUAAGCUGUAAAAAGCCAUAAUUAUAAUGAAAAUAGAUAACGAAAGUAACUUUAAAACAACUGAAACACGAUAGCUAAGACCCAAACUGGGAUUAGAUACCCCACUAUGCUUAGCCCUAAACACAAAUAACUAUUAUAACAAAAUUAUUCGCCAGAGUACUACCGGCAAUAGCUUAAAACUCAAAGGACUUGGCGGUGCUUUAUACCCUUCUAGAGGAGCCUGUUCUAUAAUCGAUAAACCCCGAUAGACCUCACCACCCCUUGCUAAUACAGUCUAUAUACCGCCAUCUUCAGCAAACCCUAAAAAGGAACAAAAGUAAGCACAAUCAUCAUACAUAAAAACGUUAGGUCAAGGUGUAACCUAUGAGGUGGGAAGAAAUGGGCUACAUUUUCUAAUUUAAGAAAACUUAACACGAAAGUUAUUAUGAAAUUAAUAACCAAAGGAGGAUUUAGCAGUAAACUAAGAAUAGAGUGCUUAGUUGAAUUAGGCAAUGAAGCACGCACACACCGCCCGUCACCCUCCUCAAAUAAGCAAAAUACAUUUAAACUUAUUUAUACGUAUAAACCAUAUGAGAGGAGACAAGUCGUAACAAGGUAAGCAUACUGGAAAGUGUGCUUGGAUAAAU
rnacentral:ncRNA from 1 species